ensembl:misc_RNA Y_RNA Y RNA
GGCUAGUCCAAAGGUAGUGAAUUACCCCACUUGAUCGUUCACAGUCAGUUACAGAUUGAAUUCCUUGCUCUACUACCUCCCCCUCCCCUUCACUACUGCACUUGACUAGUCUAAA